ACUCCUACGGGAGGCAGCAGUGGGGAAUAUUGCACAAUGGGCGCAAGCCUGAUGCAGCCAUGCCGCGUGUGUGAAGAAGGCCUUCGGGUUGUAAAGCACUUUUCAGCAGUGAGGAAGGCGGAGUCGUUAAUAGCGGCCUCGUUUGUACGUUAGCUGCAGAAGAAGCACCGGCUAACUCCGUGCCAGCAGCCGCGGUAAUACGGAGGGUGCGAGCGUUAAUCGGAAUUACUGGGCGUAAAGCGCAUGCAGGUGGUUUGUUAAGUCAGAUGUGAAAGCCCGGGGCUCAACCUCGGAAUAGCAUUUGAAACUGGCAGACUAGAGUACUGUAGAGGGGGGUAGAAUUUCAGGUGUAGCGGUGAAAUGCGUAGAGAUCUGAAGGAAUACCGGUGGCGAAGGCGGCCCCCUGGACAGAUACUGACACUCAGAUGCGAAAGCGUGGGGAGCGAAACAGGAUUAGAUACCCUGGUAGGAUAGCG
rnacentral:rRNA from 1 species